rnacentral:rRNA from 1 species
UACAGAGGGGGCAAGCGUUGUUCGGAAUUACUGGGCGUAAAGGGCGCGUAGGCGGCCUGCUAAGUCGAACGUGAAAUCCCUGGGCUCAACCCAGGAACUGCGUCCGAUACUGGUUGGCUUGAAUCCGGGAGAGGGACGUGGAAUUCCAGGUGUAGCGGUGAAAUGCGUAGAUAUCUGGAGGAACACCGGUGGCGAAGGCGACGUCCCGGACCGGCAUUGACGCUGAGGCGCGAAAGCCAGGGGAGCAAACGGG